CUCCCUUCAGCAAUUCUAACCCUAUUCCCUGUGCCUGGCGGAGACAUUCUCUUCCUCGCACGGGAAGGCCUUCCAGAUUCCCAGAACCGCCCCCCCCCGCGCCCCCAACCUUCUUUCUAAAAACCUUACAACAGAGGGAGGCUAAAAUCGAGACCUACUUCCUUCACCAAGGCUGCACUGAACCAGGGAAGGGCCCUUCCUCUUGGUGGUGGCUGGGCUCAUCAGCUCCCCUCACCCAUCGGGUCCCCUAUUCGCUGGGAGGAGGGGGUUCCUCGGGACCUGCCUCGCCUCGCCACCCCCGACAUGCCAGGAGGGACUCCAAAUCUCAACUCGGAACCCCGGGGCUGUUGCUAUUUUUGCGUGAGGGAAUUAAGCCCGUCCAAAUUAGAAGGUGAUAUUUCAUCUCUAAUUGGCAAGUUCAAAAGGCCCCUAUCGCACUCGGCGGCCUGGGGACUAUGUAAUUAAACAAGGUGUUUUCUGAGUCACUCCGGGCCGGACCCGGAUCUCCGCAAGCGACCGGUUGCCGCCCGGCCCGCGGGCCCUUGUGGCCGUCCCCUGGCCCGCGGUCCCAUUCGCCCACGGCGAGGCCGGCCCGGUUCCCGCGCCGCCGCCGCCCCUCCCAGUCCCCAGGUAUUCUUGGGAGCGGACGCCGAGCCUCGGCGCCAGCGAUAAGAUCCGGGCUGCGAACGCCGCCCUCGGCCGGGAGGAGGCUCCGCGGGGAGCUACGGCGGGGACUCGGCCGCGCGCUCCGGGCCGCGCGGGCACACACUCCCGGCUUCGCCUUGGGCCGCCUGCCAGCCGCCCCCGGAACCCUGUCGGCGGCCGGGCCUCCCCAGGAGAGAACAAGCAUGCUUAUAUAUACAGGAGAAAAAACUAUGGAGCCAGCACACACGGUACAGGAAGAAAGUGCCUGCCCGGAUCUCACCACAGCCAGGAGGGUCUCUGUCUCCUCUAUUCUGACUUCUACUUCCUCUGUCAAGAGCCCUGGUCCAGGUUGCCCUGACCUCCAGGGGGCAGCAGAGCAGUCAGCAGGGCCAGGAAGCUGGCCUCCUCUCAGGACCUUGAUCUAUGGUCAGUUUGUUUCAAGAUAGCACGAGGCCAGGAACUGAGAGUUUGGGAAAAUGAGGAAUGGCACAUUCAUUUUCCUUGUUCUGGGGUGUCAUGCCAACAAACCCCAUCAUGUCCUCUCUGAUCUACAACUAAGGGCCUGUGCAGGGGAGCAGAGCUCUGGCUAUGUGGGGGUGGUGAGGGUUGCCCUGGGUAUGGAGGGUGGGUGCAGAACUGAGUGGGACUGGGCCCCAGUCAGCAACUCUGGGGUGGGUAGAGAGCAGAAGUGCUGCAGUUGGCUACCAGAGGUGCCCCCAGCACAGUUACACAUCGUCAAGCAUCACCGUGGGGCUCACAUGCCAGAUCUGUGCAGGGGGAGGUGGGAGAGGGUCCAGCCUGUCAGGGGUCAGGACAUUCCAGGCAGCCUUUUAGCUUUUAACGUUAAGGAUUUGGGCCGAGAGGCCAUGGUGCCAGUUGCGCAACUUGGCAAAACGUGGGCUGUUACGUUCCGUUUCAAACCUUUCCCUGUGGCACACAGAGAGAGAGAGAGAGACAGAGAGACAGAGACAGGGAGAAAGACAGGAAAAGAGAGAGAAAAGAGGAAGAAAGAGAGGGGUUAGGGGACGUGUCCACCAUUCCCCUGUCUGAAGCUGGGGCAGAGGGAUGGGAUGAAGGAAGUUGGCCUAGAGAAGCUUUGCCAUCCAUGGGGUAUUCUCUAGGUGGUGAGGCCUGGGUCCAAUGGGGAAAUACCAGAGUCCUGGGAAUAGGAUGGAGGGACAAAAGUCCCUCCUUUGAGUGAGUGGGGGCCCAUUUAGAAGGGGCCUGACUAGAGGGCAAAGUUGGGGAGGGGGUCUCCCUGGCCCAUGUGGUUAGGGCUGGGCAGGACUGCUUUGGCCAUGGGCUCUUGGGACUGAACCAAACAAGCAGGUGGGCCUAGGUCUCUCUCCCCUAGCUGGGCACAGAAAGGGGGGCAUCUAUCCUUUGUGCUGAGGUCUGGUGGGCAGAUUUGUCACCUUCCUAUGCUGCCCAGGCCUUACCUCACCUUCAGAAUCCCUAGAGAGCAGCUGUCACACAUCAACUAGUGUCCCUGUCCGCCCAGGCCUAAGUGCAACCCAGGCACACGAGUGCACACAAACACACACAUACUCACAAGGCUACUGUCACGGAUAUAGAGGAUCAGACUUCCUGCCACUUCCUACCAGUGGAAUCUCUGGGGCUCAACCCACAGUCUGCUCAGCUGAGGGUGCAGUACAGAGCAGGUAAGCAGCAGUCAGAAAUGUAGAAGUAUAGGACAGAGUAAUCCAGCAUGAUAGAUGCCAGAAUCCUAGACCCUCCUGGCUGGAGAGACCCCCAACAUCCUCCAGACCAGAGGUGCAAACUGGUGGCCACGGGGACACUUCUAGUCAUAAACACAGAUUGUUUAACCUGUACAGAAAUUCAACUAAAAUAAAAAUAAAUAAAUAAAACUA